rnacentral:misc_RNA from 1 species
AAGUCGUAACAAGGUUUCCGUAGGUGAACCUGCGGAAGGAUCAUCAACAAAUCCCUCUAAAUACUCAAAACACACCUUUGUGCUCAAAACCCCCUAUAAAUCUAUGCUCUUCUCCAGUCACUUGCUGAUCAAGUGUAUGGUUUGAAUGAGAUCGUCAUUGGUUGUACGAUCCUUCCAUGCAUGAGUUGAGUGUAGGUUUUUUUUUCCCUUACAACCAAAAAAACAACAACAUAAACUCCAAAAAACACAAUCUUUAUCUAUCUGUUUCUGUUUUUUGUUUUUUUUUCUUUUCAUCUUGUAUGCACACUCGUGUGUAUAUAAUGUGAAAAAAAAGGAAAUAAAAAUAUAAAAAAACUUGAAAACAACUUUUAACAAUGGAUCUCUUGGUUCUC